GUUCUUUAGUAGAAGGAUAACAUGACAUAGCAGGAAUAAUACUGCCUUUUCUUUCUGGCAUGGAUCAAGAGAAAAGAAAAUACAAGAAAACAGACAGAAGCAAGGCAAGGUACUUCUAUGGAAGGGUGAGCCCUCACAGAUGGAGCAAUGGGGCGCGCACACCUGAACAAGGGAGGGGAAGGAGUUCUUAUCCCUGAUGCAUGUGACCCCUGCUGCUGUGUCCUUCCCCUAUUGGCUAAGGCUUCUGACAGCUUUGGAGAUUGUGACAUUGGAAUAAAGGAAAAACGUACAGGACUCAUGAAGCGCUGAAAUGUUCACAAAUAUCAAGCAAAAGUCAAUGAAAUUUAUUUUGAGCUAUUUACAUCAUUUAAUAAUUGAGCAAGGUAUACUCCUAUGAACAAAAUUUGGAGCAUGUUUGUCUCUCUCUGCCUGGCGUCUUCAGAAUUUGGAAACUAGUUAAAAUUGUUGUCUUAUUUUCAUCCUCUUUAAAAGAUGGUUUAUAAUCAGCUAUAGAAUUUUAACACGUGCUCUCAAAUGCAAGUUUCUGAUAACUUUGGAGAUUGUGACAUUGGAAUAAAGGAAGAGCUGGAAUGUUCAUGAAUAUCAAGCAAAAGUCAUGGAAAUUUAUUUUGAGCUAUUUACAGCAUUUAAUAAUUGAGCAAGGUAUACUCCUAUGAACAAAAUUUGGAGCAUGUUUGUCUCUCUCUGUCUGCCUGGCAUCUACAGAAUUUGGAAACUAGUUGAUGCAAUUGGAGAAACUGGUUGUUUUACCAAGGCUUUGACUGGAAGGAUAUGCUUCCCUUUAAGAAACCAAGCUCAACUUACAGAGCUGAUAAAACCCCUUUGGGAAAACUGGCCUCAUACCUUGUCUACACAGUCCCCAUGCAGGGUUCCUAACGUGUGUCGUUCCCAGAUUUCCUAAACUUUCCAGAGAAAAUGGUCUUCUCCCUGGCUCAGCAAGAAGAUGAACUUUAAACACUGAGAAACUGGUCAUCUCCCUGGCUCAACCAGAAGAUGAACUUUAAACACUACUCUCAAUGACUUGAUGUUCCCAUCACUACUCCUGUCAUAAAGGGAGGGGACUCAGAUAUUGAGAAUUUUAUGAUAGUGUGAACUGUCUGGUAUGUCAUUUAAGUAAGCCCGUUGCUGAAAUAUUUUCCAUGUUAUUAGAAAGAGCUGAAGAGAGGGAUUGAGAUGGCUUCUUUAUUUUUUGUCUUUUGGGAAUUAAAGGAACCUGGUUCAACAAGGGCCUACACCUAAGUCUCUUGUUGUACCAGAGUACAAUUUAGGACUGCUCCUGAGGAAGGAAUUAGCUAGAAAUCUAGAGAGUAAGGGUAACAGAUUUACAUAGAAUAACAGCCUCAGUAUUUUUGGUUCCUCUCCAGUAAAGAUCACAAAGAAUAUUGCUAAAUCGCUAAAACACCUUUGCAAUAACGUAAGGGCUUACAACUAUAUACCAAUGUAGCUCAGUUACUAAACUGGAGUAAACUAAUUUCUCUUGUGUAGAAAAAUUGGUUGGCUGUGGUUUUAUAGCAGAUCUGCAAUUAUUAAUAGUUAUGCCAAUAAUCGUUUAACAGUGCAUAUGUUAAUAUAUAUGGAAAGACAAUGUGUAUAGACAGAUGUGUAAAAUUGAAAAAUAAACAUAUAACAAGAGAGAAACAUCUAUCGAACAGACAAUAUACAUACACAUCAAACACAACAGCAGUUUUAGUGACCAUAAUAUUUAUUUCUCAUUUUUACAUUGCUUACUU
rnacentral:lncRNA from 1 species